CAUCGAAGGAGCACAUGGAGUUCCAGACGCUGAUCCUCCAAGAAUCCACGUGUGACAGAAAGGAUGGAUAAUGUUUUGGCUCAGUUCCAGCCUGGCAGAGCCUGCGUGUGGUUGUUUCAGGCUGAUGUACAAAAAGGAAGUACCAAUUUAAUCGACUGCAUGGAUUUGCAACGAGCAGUUCAGCAGCUGCUUUAUGAGCCAUCCUUGCAGGAGGGGAACCUCCGAGAGAUGGAUUCCUUUAACUAGAAAGAUAUGACAGGUUGUGAUAUCGGACUGCAGUGAAGUCCCACCUGUGCUAUUCUACCCUUCAUGAGUAAGCAGUGGUGGGGCUGUGCAGCUGUCACGCACGUCCCCUUUUUGGGAGCAGCAGAACAGCCCAUGCUGGAUGUGAGGGAAGCACCAGAGGUCACAAUGGCUACAGCUGGAUCCCACAAAGUGUGGUGGAAAAGAAGAACAGGUUUGAUUCUCUUCUUGAGGACACCCCUGCACCUUCACCUAGAUUCCUCCCUGGGCAGCUGCGGUGAAUGGAUCUGACCACCGAGGGAAUCUGGCCCACUGAAUUCCUUUUCUUUCUGUGCAGUUGAAUGAAAAGUGUGUGUCUUUUGAAGAACCGUGACUGAAAGAAAUAUUGAUGACUGCCAGGGCAUCUACAGAAAAGGAUAAGAAAAUUACUCUCCUACAACAGGGAAGACAAAGUGGCUUUGUUAACUCUUUCUUGUAGGUUGUAUAUAUUAAUAGUAACAACUAAAGUUUUGUAUUUUUUCAGAGAAACACACAAGGCUUUGAAUUGUAUUGUUUUAAUUGCAGCUAACUGAAUGAAUUAAGUGGAAAAUCGCACACAGUACUUUGAUUGUCUAACUCUCUGUAUGUGAGGCUUUGGGAACAGUUUGUUAUUAUAAAAGAACAGCACUAACAAGAAAUCAGCCAACAUAUAAUUGCUAGGCUGAGGGGCAGUUUGGGGAAAGCUGAUAUUUAUUUAUAAAUUAUUAAAUAAAA